GGUACAGGUCUUCGGAUGCUGACGAGUGGCGAACGGGUGAGUAAUACAUCGGAACGUGCCUAGUAGUGGGGGAUAACUACUCGAAAGAGUAGCUAAUACCGCAUGAGAUCUACGGAUGAAAGCAGGGGACCUUCGGGCCUUGUGCUACUAGAGCGGCUGAUGGCAGAUUAGGUAGUUGGUGGGGUAAAGGCUUACCAAGCCUGCGAUCUGUAGCUGGUCUGAGAGGACGACCAGCCACACUGGGACUGAGACACGGCCCAGACUCCUACGGGAGGCAGCAGUGGGGAAUUUUGGACAAUGGGCGAAAGCCUGAUCCAGCAAUGCCGCGUGCAGGAUGAAGGCCCUCGGGUUGUAAACUGCUUUUGUACGGAACGAAAAGCCUGGGGCUAAUACCCCCGGGUCAUGACGGUACCGUAAGAAUAAGCACCGGCUAACUACGUGCCAGCAGCCGCGGUAAUACGUAGGGUG
rnacentral:rRNA from 1 species